rnacentral:rRNA from 1 species
AUGAACGCUGGCGGCGUGCUUAACACAUGCAAGUCGCACGAUGAAGCCCAGCUUGCUGGGUGGAUUAGUGGUGAACGGGUGAGUAACACGUGAGUAACCUGCCCUUGACUCUGGGAUAAGCCUGGGAUACUGGGUCUAAUACUGGAUAUGACUUCUCAUCGCAUGGUGGGGGGUGGAAAGAUUUAUUGGUCUUGGAUGGACUCGCGGCCUAUCAGCUUGUUGGUGAGGUAAUGGCUCACCAAGGCGACGACGGGUAGCCGGCCUGAGAGGGUGACCGGCCACACUGGGACUGAGACACGGCCCAGACUCCUACGGGAGGCAGCAGUGGGGAAUAUUGCACAAUGGGCGCAAGCCUGAUGCAGCGACGCCGCGUGAGGGAUGACGGCCUUCGGGUUGUAAACCUCUUUCAGUAGGGAAGAAGCGAGAGUGACGGUACCUGCAGAAGAAGCGCCGGCUAACUACGUG